GCACUCAUUAAAAGGGGGAGGUAUAAAAGCAACACAUCCCCUCAAACCACAUUUUCUCACUUUCCUCUCUCUCUCUCUCUUCAGCUCUCCCUCUCUCUCAUCCGACUCCCUCUCUCUCUGGAAGCCGCCGGACGCCGCCGCCUCCGGAACCCCAAUCUUCACCAAAAUUUCCUGAUUUUCUCCUCUUCAUUCCCUCUUCCCAUUUCUCCAACCAAAAUCAUGAAAUUUGGCCAUUCAAUCCUCCAAAAACUCUAGAACCCGAAGCCAAUUUGGGGGUUUUUGUGAUUUCUUCAUUCUAGGUUCAAAUCAAGAUUUUCCCUUGAACUAUGAGGCUAGGCUACGGGUUUGGCAAGGAUUUGUGGUGAAGAAGGCCAAGGAGGAGGAAUAGGCCGUGAGUUUUGAAGAAGAAAGGGU